UCAGGUUCUGAAAAAUUAAUUUUUGUUCUGGUUGUGUCUUGUGUUAGGAAUAAUUUUGUGAUUUUUUUUUUUUUUCCUAUAGGACUGUUAUGUGCUCAACAAGAUUUGAGUGCUGUAUUUAUGCAGAUCUAAUGACUGUGACCAUUUCUGUUCAGGUCAAAGGAAUUAGGUAUCUGAGGCAGUAAAUAUCACCACUAUUAAAGGCAAUCAUUCAUCCAUUUACAAGCUGUCAAGUAGCAUAACAGAUAACUUGCCUUUUCUGUUUUAGGAGAAUCAGCAAAUAUUUAUUUCCUCCAAUGUUUAUUCCCUCCAGUGCUGCUCUGUUAACCCCUUUCAUCUGUUUCCUCUGCCUGCUGCACCUUGCCCUGAAUGGAGUGAUGCUCUUCACUCCAGAGAGAAGCAGCAGUAAACCUUGUCGAGUGCUAGGUGCGUGGUAUUGAUUCCUCUUGAAGUCUGAGGAGAUAGAAGCUGAGGGAACUGAGGAGCAUCUGAGUUAACUGUGGUUAUUUAGGCUGGAGAAGAGGAGACUUGGGGACCCCACCACUCUCUACAAGUGCUUGGAAGGAGGCUCCAGUCAGGGGAGGGUCGGCGUUUUCCUUCAGGAUAGUAAGAGCUGUGCUGAAUGGCUGUUUGUACAAUCCAUCUUUUAAUCCACUCUCUGAGGCAGAAGACUAUUCAGAGUAAGGAAGCGGCUGGACUGUAAAUGUGUGCUUGCAUAACUUAUCCAGAUGAAUCAAUCCUGUGGGACCUAGAGGUAAAUGCAUUACACCAGUGGGACAGGAGACUUCUCAUUUUGUAGGCUUUUAGAAUGACCCUUGAUUGGGACUCCCUUUCAGGACUGUAAUGUAAAUAAAAUAAUUAACUUUAUUUUUUAAGUUUUAAGCUAAACAACCAUAGCAUUGAAGGUAUAUGUUUUAUUUUUUAAUGUCUAACAUAAUAUUUCUUGUUAUAGAAAAAAGAAUUCAUGCAUGCUCAGCCAAUAAGUUUCAGUUAAAAGGCAGCUGUUUUUUCGAUGUGUGUUUUUUUAAAUCUCCCUCUCUAAUUAAUGAAAACUCUUCCCUCAUUCCUUUUGAUUUAAAACCUGUAUUAUGGUAACAAGGAUUUGUAAUCCUUGUUAAUUUUUCAAGUAUAAGGAAACGGUUUCCAUUGCACAUUUUUUUGUUGAAAAACUCAAGUUUGAAAGAAAAAUUCAGCUAAAUUUUGAUUCAUAAGCAGUAUGUCUAGGCAGAUCCUAGAGUCUAAUAUUGAAAUAGUUAUAAAUUGUUAUAAAGUUCACCAGGUCUGAUAUUCAGAGAUA